rnacentral:rRNA from 1 species
GUGAACGCUGGCGGUAGGCCUAACCCAUGCCCGUCGAACGGCAGCACCGUAAGAGCUUGCUCUUACGGGUGGCGAGUGGCGGACGGGUGAGGAAUACAUCGGAAUCUACUUUUUCGUGGGGGAUAACGUAGGGAAACUUACGCUAAUACCGCAUACGACCUACGGGUGAAAGCAGGGGAUCUUCGGACCUUGCGCGAUUGAAUGAGCCGAUGUCGGAUUAGCUAGUUGGCGGGGUAAAGGCCCACCAAGGCGUCGAUCCGUAGCUGGUCUGAGAGGAUGAUCAGCCACACUGGAACUGAGACACGGUCCAGACUCCUACGGGAGGCAGCAGUGGGGAAUAUUGGACAAUGGGCGCAAGCCUGAUCCAGCCAUACCGCGUGGGUGAAGAAGGCCUUCGGGUUGUAAAGCCCUUUUGUUGGGAAAGAAAAGCAGCAGGUUAAUACCCCGCUGUUCUGACGGUACCCAAAGAAUAAGCACCGGCUAACUUCGUG